CUGCUGCAGCAGGCCUGGGGGACGGAGGGAGCCCAGAGCCCAGGGGUCAGCUCCACCUUUACUGACGUCCCUGCCCCCAGCCUUCCCUCCCAGCCACAGCUUGGCCCGUCCCAUCCAGCUGUCAGUGUGGCCAGUGCAGCCAGUCGAGCCACAGCCUCAGUGUUUUCCUCUUGACCCUGCCUCCUGCCGCCACUUGUUUCCAGGGAAACCAGGACCCGGCCCCAGCCAUGUAAGGGAAGGGAUGCCCUCCCGGGCUCUGGGAGAUGUGCGUGUGCGGGAUGCCACGUGACACAGCUGAACCUGAGGGGCCACUUUUGGCAAAGGCAGUGCGACAGGCCCGUGUCACGGGACCCGUGGUCGCCGUGGUGAUCCGCGUGGCAGCGCCGGGACUGCGGCCCUCAGGUGGUGGAGCCACCCCGCAGAGUCGCGCUCAGGGACAGCCGGGUGACCACGGGCUGUGGAGCUGGGCACUGCGCUCCAGGGCAGGGCUUAUGCCCUGAACCCGUAAGCAGUGCAUCCUCAGCCUCUCCUCCCCAGAUCCUGCAUCCCCUCCUGCAACCAGAUACCGCCAAGGGCCGAGAGCCCAGUCUGAGCAGAGGACACUGAGGCCACCGCCACGCCAGGGCAGCUACUCCAUUUUCAAGUGAACCUGAGCACAGCUCCUGGGUUGCAUGAGGGGUGGGCUUGGUGGUGCCAAGCAAGAAAGGACAGGCAUAGCGCCGGGGCUGACUGCGUGGGUGUGGGCUCAGGACCUGGAGGCCGUAGCUCGAGCACUCAGUCCAGCAGCCAGGAGCGGCUCCAGCAAGGGCCAGGCUGUGACCAGGGCUGGCUCAGACACCGCCGUGAUCCCAGGAGGAAUGAGCUGAUGGUGGGCUCCAGGGGUUACCGCCAGAGAGACCCAGGCUGAUGGAAUGACUGCUGCCUAGAACAUUGCAGGUCUUCCCAGAUGAGACACAGAGGCUCUGGAGGGUCGUGCAAUAGUAAGUAAAUGCUCUGGCGUAAAGGUGCCAUGUAAAUACCUCCUCUCAUUCCUCAUUGGCCAAUACUGGUCACAUGGCACCACCUCAUGACUCCCCGCCACGGUUCCCCUCCCGGCCAUGAUGGGACCAGGCAGUCCGGCCCCUCCCACCCACCCGAAGAUGAAGCAGAGUUGGGGAGCACUGCUAGGGACCACCACUCCCCUCAUUCCAAAUCAUCACCUUUAUUCCCUCUGCCAUAAUUUUAUUUAUUGGGUAGGAUAAUUUACCCUCUAAGUAACACAUCGUAAUAUUUAGUAUAGAUGAUCGCUUUCCACAGACAUGAUUUGGCAGCUUGUUAUUAAAUUUUGCUAUGAUUUCUGCCAAAUGAAUGAUAUUUGCCUUAUCCCACGUGUGCGGUUGUUUGAAUGGUCUUCUGGAUCCUAGAUACUGCCUCACCGGAAGCUGAGCCUGGUACACGCAGAGCCCACAGGACACCCACAAGAGUCACAUACCUGCCAUUGACCACCUCUGGGCUUUUAAUACCGAAACUUCAAAGAACUUAUGUGUCUCUCAUUACACUUGCUAGCAAUAUUUAUACAGGAACAUGUUGUAUUUAUAUCCCCAAAAAUCAGUAAGAGAAUUUUAACAAAACCAUGUAUGGGAAAAGUCUUAAGUCACAUUUCAGAAACAAUGUGUAGUGGUUGUAAUAACAUGGGGGCAUUUUGCAAAGUUUGAGAACCAACAAAGAGGCGUGCGCACAGCCAGGGUGGGGCUGGGGCUCCUGCAGAGAGAUUUGCUCCACCCUGCGUUCAGGACGCCACCUGCACGAAAUGUUAAGUUCACCUGCGUGUCGUGUGUGUUACUGGCAUACACGCUUCCCUGGUUUAUAGUAACAUUGUAAUUUUUCUCAUUUUUUAAAAGUAAUCCCAGCACUUUGGGAGGCCGAGGCGGGCGGAUCACGAGGUCAGGAGAUCGAGACCAUCCUGGCUAACACGGUGAAACCCCGUCUCUCCUAAAAAUACAAAAAAUUACCCGGGCGUGGUGGCGGGCGCCUGUAGUCCCAGCUGCUCGGGAGGCUGAGGCAGGAGAAUGGCGUGAACCUGGGAGGCAGAGCUUGCAGUGAGCGGAGAUCGUGAGCUCACUGAGUGAGCGAGACUCCGUCUCAAAAAAAAAAAAAAAAAAAUUUUGUGUUUUUUGAGACAGGGUCUCCAUCUGUUGCCCAGGCUGGAAUACAGUGGUAUGAUCACAACUCACUGCCAUGAGUCUGGGAGCCUCGACCUCCAGAGCUCAAGCAAUCCUCCCGUCUCAGCCUCCCAAAUAGCUGGGACCAUAGCAGUGUGCCACCAUGCCUGGCUAAUUUUUGUAUUUUCUGUAGAGAUGGGGGUCUCACUAUGUUGCCCUGGCUAGUCUCGAACUCCUGGGCUCAAGUGAUACUCCCACCUUGACCUCCCAAAGUGCUUGGAUUAAGGCGUGAGCUACCACACCUGGCCAUUUUUCUCAUUUAAAAUAGAUUAUUGGCCGGGCAUGGUGGCUCAUGCCUGUAAUCCGAGCACUUUGGGAGGCUGAGGCGGGUGGAUCACUUGAGGUCAGGAGUUUGAGACCAGCCUGGCCAAUAUGGUGAAAUCCCAUCUCUACUAAAAUACAAAAAUUAGCCGGAUGUGGUGGUGGUCACUUGUAAUCCCAGCUACUGGGGAGGCUGAGGCAGGAGAAUGGCUUGAACCCAGGAGGCAGAGGUUGCAGUGAGCUGAGAUCGCACCACUGCACUCCAGCCUGGGCAAUGAAGUGAGGUUCCAUCUCAAAAUAAUAAUAAUAAUAAAAUAAAAUAGAUUCUCAACUGAAGGUUCUUGGUAUUAAGUGGAGACAUUAAGUGGAGGGCGUGUGUGUGAGUGCCAGUGGCACCCGCGGACGCUUUUUUCAAAUGACGUGUAUUCAUGGCAUGGACUGCCAUUUUUCACAUUUUCUGUUGACUUUCAUUGGUUGGUGCUGCAAAUGAGCAGGUCACGCUAAGGCUGUGGGUAAUCGCCGCCAUCCUCACUCCUCAGCUGAUCCUUCCCAUGCCCAGAGAGGCUGAAAUAAAAAUGAAAUUUAUAAUCCUGGCAGGGCGCGGUGGCUCACGCCCGUAAUCCCAACACUUUGGGAGGCCGAAGCGGGUGGAUCACGAGGUCAGGAGAUCGAGACCAUCCUGGCCAACAUGGUGAAACCCCGUCUCUACUAAAAAUACAAAAACAAAAUUAGCCGGGCGUGGUGGCAGGCGUGUGUAGUCCCAACUACUCGGGAGGCUGAGGCAGGAGAAUGGCAUGAACCCGGGAGGUGGAGGUUGCAGUGAGCCGAGAUCGUGCCCCUGCACUCCAGCCUGGUGACAGAGCGAGAACUGUCUCAACAACAACAACAAAAAAGAAGAAAUUUAUAAUCCUUUGAGUAUUAUAUAUUAUAAAGUAACCAGGAUCUAGUUGUUUCGUUUUGUUUUGUUUUUUACCAAUUGGAAUAAUUCACGUUUAAUGUUUCCAAACCCUUCUGCCUGCAACCGCCGUCCUGGGGAUGAGAAAUCUCUGGGGAGGAGGAGUUUGGGGGCCAGCAUCUUGUGUCGGGGCAUGGGUUGUUGAGAUGACGCUAGCACCCCCCAUCCCCCGCCCCUGCCUACUGGGCUGGUUUCCCCUCCAGGGGGUGAGGUGGCGCCUCCCAGAUGGGACACAGCCUGCUGUCCCCACUUUAGUCAGAAAGCAGGAGUGAGACAGGUGGCCGGGACGAGACGCUGGGGCUGGUAGGCGCUUUGCUGCCAUCUGCUGGGGAGCCCGCAGCAGCCGCCGCCGUGGACCUUGUGCUGGUGGAAAGCACAAAACCACUGUCCACGUGAAGGCCGCCCAUGUCCUGGCAGCGCCCCUGAGGGGUGGCCUCCUGCAACCACCCACCUGCAACCACCCACCUGCAACCACCCAGGGGGCUGCAAAGCCACUCUGCUCGUGCUGGCCUGGCCUCUGAACCUAUCACAACAUAAGACAGAAGAGGACUGAAUGGGGUGCGGCCCAGCGUACGCUGCUCAGCCUGGUCUUCGUGAAUGGGCUCCAUCCAGCCUCUGUCCUCAGAGACGGCAGGUGGUGCCUCAUCUUCCUGGCAGACCUGGAGGGAGUGUGGGUAGAGUGGGACCCAGCCAGGAGUCCAGGCCCUGAAGCCAAGGGCAGGCCCAUGUCUCCACCACCCCACAGUCUAGCAUCCUCAGACCAGGCCCAAGAGAAGCCCCACUCCUGAGCAGGGGGAGGGAAGGGGAGGCCGGGGACUCAGGCAGCUGCCCCCUAGAGUGGGAAGGAAGGGCCCCAGCGUUUCCCAGCUCUAGCCCCACUUAGCUUUUGGUCCCUUUGCUGUGGUCCCCAGGGGUGUGGCUUCCUCGGGGGGCUGAAGCCAGCAGUCCCUCAGCAAACACGCACAGGGCUCCAGGGUGGGGGAUAAGACUCUGCCCCCAAAAGGCUCUGAAAUGUGUCAGGAUGUGACAUGGUGGAACUGACCAGGUUUCCAGCAGGUCUGCGGGGCUGAGGCUUGCAUCCCCUGGGAGGCUGACAUGCGCUGUCUGGCACGGAAGGUGGAUAUCCCCUCAGCUAUGCCUUCUUUGUUCACUGGCUGGAAUACUUCCGCGAUGACAAACCUCCCUCUCAUGCUGUUUGGUUACCCAGCGGCCCAUCUGCAUAGGAAAGACAGAAUAAGAGCUUGAUUCUUUUCUUUUAUUUAUCAAUUUUAAAAAUGUAAGCUUGUUGCCGGGAUCUCCUAAGGACGAUCAGUUAAUUUUUUUUUUUAACUCAGGGAUUUAAGCGGGUGAGUUGAGUAAGCUGAAGGUGUCCCAUCUUCCGAACGCGUUUCUAGGACGGCAAAGCCUCCUGUUCCGAGACGGGUAGAGCAGGAAGCCACUUCCCACAGAUCACAGCUGCCCCAUCCCUUCAGGGCGUCCUGCCUUGCCUCGAACUCCUGGGCUCAAGUGGUCCAUUCCCUUUCCUUAGAGUGUGGGAUGAAUGCCUCCAGGAGAGAGGUUCCUCCUCCGGGUCAGCAGCUGCAGCUACCUAAGCAUUCUCUUCCUCACCCAGCAGGGCCCGCAGCCCAGGGUUAUGGCGAGACUCCAGUUCAGGGUGGCGGCUGCCAGGGAGCUGUGGGUUGGUCGGCUGGAACCAGCUGAGGCCUCAGAACCAAGAAGCCCUUCCAUGCCAGGCCCAGGGAGGAGGAGCCUGUUGACAGCGUUGUCCCUGGGACCUGGUGGGCAAACAGGCCGGGGGCGAGAGCUUGGGACCCAGAGACCCGGGUCCUGCCUGCAUAUGAUCCAGUAGGGAGGGCAAGCUGGUCUGCCCCCGAGGCCCAGCCACCGUGCUGGGCUGUCCUGAGAGGCCCUGGAGGACAGGUGCGAUGCUCGGUGGGCUGUCUCCACAAUAUACAAACAUCAGUUGUAUUUCAUGCUAGCAGUAGGCAAUCCAAACAUGAGACUAAGCAAACAGCUCCACACACAAUAGCACUGCAAAUAAUAAAAUACUCAGGAAUAAACGUAGCCAAAGAAAGUCAAGACUUGUAUAUUUAAGACUAGAAAACAUUACUGAAGGAAAUGAAGAGGACAUGAUUGAACGGAAAGUCAUCUCAGCAUCACUCCCCAAGCUGACCUGCAAAUUCAGUGCAAUCCCCAUCACAAUUCCACUGUCUCCUGCCUGGGGGCUGCCCCUCCCCAUAUCAGCCCUCUGCCCAGGACACAAGACUGCUGGGUGGCCUUGUGUGUGUGUUGGGGUGGGAGGGCUCCACUCCUGUCUGUGGCGUGCAGCCCUGCUCAAUGCAUUCCCAGCACUGAAGAACGGCCUCUCCCAGGGCCCAGCAGUUGGGGCAGCCUUCCUCCUGAGGUAGGAGGCAGGACUCAACUCCGGAGGUGGGGUUUGGACACUGGACCAAAGUGAGGAUUAGCUAAAACAAGUGUCUUACAGGGAGGUGGAAGCACCUCCCUGUAAGACACGCCCACCAGUGUGCCAUGUCAUUUUACCAUUCCGUGGUAACACCCAGAAGUUACUGCCCCUUUCCAUGGCAACAACCAGACAAGCCAGAAGUUGCCACCCUCAUCCUGGAAAUUUCUGCAUAAACCGCCCCUUAAUUUGCAUGUAAGUAAAAGUGGGCAGGCUGGAUGCCCUGGUUCAUCCCUGUAUUCCCAGCACUUUGUGAGUCCGAGGUAGGAGGAUCACCUCGGCCCAGGAGUUCAAGGCUGCGGUGAGCCCUGAUGGCGCCACCAGACUCCAGCUUGGGUGACAGAGCAAGACCCUGUCUCAAAAAAAAAAAAAUUUGGGGUAUAAAUUUGACUUCAGCCCUGCCUCAGCUGCGACUCUGGGUGCACUGCCUGUCGGGUGGUCCCUGUUCUCAAGGAGCAGCCCCUUUGCUGCAGGUCUGGUUGGCCACUUAGUAACAGUUGCUGUCUAGGCUGGGUGCAGGGGCUCACUCCUGGAAUCCCAGCACUUUGGGAGGCCAAUGUGGGCGGAUUGCUUGAGCCCAGGAGUUCAAGACCCGCCUGGGCAACAUGGCAAAACCCCGUCUUUACAACAAAAAAAUACAAAAAUUAGCUGGGUGUGGUGGCACACGUCUGUAGUCCCAGCUACUCGGGAGACUGAGACAGGAGGAUUGCUUGAGCCCAGGAGGUCAAGGCUGCAAUGAGCUAUGAUGGCACCACUGUGCUCCAGCCUGGGCGACAGAGAAAGAUCCUGUCUCAAAAAAUUAAAAGUUGCUGUCUAACACACCGGCUCGUCCUUGAAUUCUUUCCCAGGCUCAGCCUCAAUUUUGGGGCUCACCUGUCUGGCAUCGCUGCUGCUUCUGGAAUGUUCAGGAGCCCACAUGUUUCCUGAUUGGGGUCAGCCAUUUUGAUGAUGAAAUUUGUAAUAUUAAGUUGUUUCGUUGGGACUUUUCAGAACCAGGUGAAUACACAGCAGAUAAAACACCUUGGAGGCUGGGCGUGGUGGUUGAAGCACUGGUAUUUCCAUCAGCUCAGUGUGAGAGCUCUGGUUGCUGUACCUCCCAUCAACAUUUGACAUGUUUAGUCUUUUUAAAUUUUCAGGCAUUCUAGUGGGUGCAUGAUGGUGUCUCACUGUAAUUUUAAUUUCUAUCUUCCUAAUGACUAAUGUUCUUGCAUCUUUUUAUGUGCUGUUCGCCAUCCAUAUAUCUUCACUGGUGAAAGGUCUGUUGAAAUCUUUUGUCUAUUUCUAAAUUGGAUUAUUUCUGUUUAUUGAGUGCUGGGGGUUCUUUGUAUAUUCUGGAUACAAGUCCUUUAUCAGUUAUGUGAUUUACAAGUAUUAUUCCCAGUCUGUGGCUUGUCUUUUUAUUUUCUUAACAGUGUAUUUUAAAGGGCAUAAGUUCCUAAUUUUGAUGAAGUCCAAUUUAUCGAUCUCUUUCUUCUAUAGAUCAUAAUUUUAGUGUUAUAUUUCAGAAAUAUAACUCAAAAAUGACAAAGAUUUUUCUCUUACAUUUUCCUUUAGAUGGUUUAUCAUUUUAGAUUCCAGUUGUGAUCCAUUUUGGGAUAAUUUUUGCACAUGGUGUGAGAUUAAUUUUUUGCAUAUAGAUGGUGAAAAGAUCAUUAUUUUUUCACUGAAGUUCUUCUGUACCUUUACUUAAAAUCAAAUGACAAUAGAUGCAUGGGUCUAUUUCUGGACUCGGUUGAUCUAUAUUUCUGUGUUAAUAUCAAUACCUCGCUGUCUUGAUUACAAUAGACUUGCAACAGCCCUUCAAGUCAGAUGGUGGACGUCCCCUCAAUUCACUUUUCUUUUUCAAGGUUGUUUCAGCUGCUCUUGGUCCUUUGCAUUUCCAUAUUAAUUUUAGAAUCAGUUUGUCAAUUUCCACACACAAAAAAACCUACUGGAAUUCUGAUUGGGUAGCACUGACCUGUAGUUCAAGUUGGAGAGCAUAUCUCAGCAAUAUCGAGUCUUCCAGUACAUGAACAAGGUCUGUCUCUACAUGGACUUAGGAGUUUAAUUUCUCUCAUCAAUGUUUGGCAGUGUUCAGUGUUCAGGUCUUGCACAUCUUAUCAGAAUUAUUCAUAUUUCACAUUUUUGAUGCUAUUUUAAGUAAUGUUUUAAAUUUCACUUUAUAAUUGUCCAUUAUUAGAACAUAGACGUACAGCUGAUUUUUAUAUCUUGAUCUUGUUUCCCACAGUCUGGCUAAACUCAAUAGUUCUAGUUGUUUUUCUGUAGAUUCUAUCAGAUUUUCUACAUGGGUAAUCAUGUCAAUGGCAAAUAAAGACAGUUUUACUUCUUCCUUUUCAAUAUGGAUGCCAUUUGUUUGUUUAUUAUUUAUCUAUCUUUUCUUUUUGCCACUGGCUAGAAGCUUCAAUACAAUGUUGCCCUUUUUCCUGAUCUUAAGGGAAAGCAUUUGGUUUUUCAUCAUUAAAUAUGAUGUUAGCUGUAGAUUUUUCAUAGAUGCCCUUUAUCCGGUUGAGGAGGUUCUCUCUUCUUCAAUUUCUUGGAAGCGUUUUUACAGAAUUGUUAUUGUUUUUCCUUAAAUGGGACAUUGAGUUUGCAGUAAGCCAUGAUGGUCCACGGCAGUCCAGCCUGGAUGACAGACGGAGACCCUAUCUCUUAAAAAAAAAUGCAGGUUCGGGCCGGGUGCGGUGGCUCAGGCCUGUAAUCCCAGCACUUUGGGAGGCUAAGGCGGGCGGAUCAUGAGGUCAGGAGUUCCAGACCAGCCUGGCCAACAUGGUGAAACCCCAUCUCUACUAAAAUUACAAAAAUAAGUCGGGCAUGGUGGUGGGCACCUGCAAUCCCAGCUACUCGGCAGGCUGAGGCACAAGAAUUGCUUGAACCCGGGACGGGGAGGUUGCAGUGAGCCGAGAUUGUGCCACGGCACUCCAGCCUGGAUAACAGAGCGAGAUUCAUCUCAAAAAAAAAAAAAAAAUGCAGGUUCUGAUCAGCGGGUUUUCCAUGAAAGGUUCACUUAUGCAAAGCAACCCUCACAUGAGGACGGAGCUGAGAAACCAAAGAAUGAGGCUGACAGAUUCGGUUUGUCAGGAGAGGGUGCUCUACUGGGGAACCUGCCACCAGGGGUGGCCUUGGGUGGGACAGGUGCAGCUCUGCACUGUUGCUCCCCAGACCCAGGGCUCAGCUUCUCUGUAGGGAAAGGCUCUGCAUGCUCCACACAGGCAAGAACGCAACAUCGCCUGUCAUCUGUGUAAUAACAUCAAGGCUGCUCUGAUGGAAAGGCAGGAUUCAUAGCGAGUGCACGUUCUUACACUAAGGACAGUAGAUACGGCAGGAAUCGGGGCAUUCCCAGGACGGCGGCUCAUCAGAAGUCUGCACGGUGGAGUAGAACCUAACACGGAGUCACUUCUGUCUCCACAG
rnacentral:lncRNA from 1 species